rnacentral:rRNA from 1 species
GGUUGUCGUCAGCUCGUGUCGUGAGAUGUUCGGGUUAAGUCCCGCAACGAGCGCAACCCCUAUUGUUAGUUGCCAUCAUUCAGUUGGGCACUCUAGCGAGACUGCCGGUAAUAAACCGGAGGAAGGUGGGGAUGACGUCAAAUCAUCAUGCCCCUUAUGACCUGGGCUACACACGUGCUACAAUGGUUGGUACAACGAGUUGCGAGUCGGUGACGGCGAGCUAAUCUCUUAAAGCCAAUCUCAGUUCGGAUUGUAGGCUGCAACUCGCCUACAUGAAGUCGGAAUCGCUAGUAAUCGCGGAUCAGCACGCCGCGGUGAAUACGUUCCCGGGCCUU